GUGGAUUAGAUACCCGAGUAGUCCACGCCGUAAACUAUGGGUGCUAGCCGUCGGGGAGCUUGCUCUUCGGUGGCGCAGCAAACGCAUUAAGCACCCCGCCUGGGGAGUACGGUCGCAAGAUUAAAACUCAAAGGAAUUGACGGGGGCCCGCACAAGCGGUGGAGCAUGUGGUUUAAUUCGAGGCAACGCGAAGAACCUUACCAGCCCUUGACUUCCCGAUCGGGGCUCCGGAGACGGAGCUCUUCAAUUGGUCGGUGACAGGUGCUGCAUGGCUGUCGCCAGCU
rnacentral:rRNA from 1 species